rnacentral:rRNA from 3 species
UGUCUAUAUGAAGAUAUUUAUAGUCUGGCCUGCUCCCUGACUAUAAAGUUAAAGAGCCGCGGUAAUUUGACCGUGCAAAGGUAGCAUAAUCAUUAGUUUCUUAAUUGGGAACUUGUAUGAAAGGUCUGACAAAGAAAAAGCUGUCUUUAUUAUGAAAGUUGAAUUUAACUUUUAAGUGAAAAGGCUUAAAUAAUUUAGAGGGACGAUAAGACCCUAUAAAGCUUUAUAUAAAAAAUAAUUAAAAUUAAAUUUAUAAUAAAGAUUUAAAUUAAUUAUUAUAUUUUAUUGGGGUGAUAAUGAUAAAAAUAAUAUUAACUGUUGAACAAAUAUACAUAAAUAAAAGAGUUAAGUUAGUUAAUGAUCCUUAUUUAAAGAUUAAAAGAUUAAGUUACUUUAGGGAUAACAGCGUAAUUUUUCUUGAGAGUUCAUAUCGAAAGAAAAGAUUUCGACCUCGAUGUUGAAUUAAGAUAUCUAUGUAAAGCAGUCAUUACAUAAGAAG